UACAGAGGCUACGAGCGUUAGGCGGAAUCACUGGGCUUAAAGCGUGUGUAGGUGGAUGGGUAAGUACCUUGUGAAAUCCCACGGCUCAACCGUGGAACUGCUUGGUAUACUGCCUGUCUUGAGGCACUCAGGGGCGAGCGGAACAGAUGGUGGAGCGGUGAAAUGCGUAGAUAUCAUCUAGAACGCCAAUGGUGAAGACAGCUCGCUGGGGGUGUACUGACACUGAGACACGAAAGCCAGGGGAGCAAACGGG
rnacentral:rRNA from 1 species